rnacentral:rRNA from 1 species
UACGGGGGGUGCGAGCGUUAAUCGGAAUAACUGGGCGUAAAGGGCACGCAGGCGGUCUUUUAAGUGAGGUGUGAAAUCCCCGGGCUCAACCUGGGAAUUGCAUUUCAUACUGGGAAUCUAGAGUACUUUAGGGAGGGGUAGAAUUCCACGUGUAGCGGUGAAAUGCGUAGAGAUGUGGAGGAAUACCGAAGGCGAAGGCGGCCCCUUGGGAAUGUACUGACGCUCAGGUGCGAAAGCGUGAGGAGCAAACAGG